UACGAGGGGGGCAAGCGUUGUUCGGAUUUAUUGGGCGUAAAGGGUGCGUAGGCGGUUUGGCAAGUCUUGUGUGAAAUCUUCGGGCUCAACCCGAAGCCUGCAUAAGAAACUGCCGGGCUUGAGUAUGGGAGAGGUGAGUGGAAUUUCCGGUGUAGCGGUGAAAUGCGUAGGAUAUCGGAAGGAACACCUGUGGCGAAAGCGGCUCACUGGACCAUAACUGACGCUGAGGCACGAAAGCUAGGGGAGCAAACAGG
rnacentral:rRNA from 1 species